GCACAGAGUACAGGAUCACCUCCCUGUGAGAGAUGGAUGGCACAACAGACAGGAAAUCAACCGGCAAGACCCGAAACAUCUGCUACUGCAUGGCAGCUGGCUGACAGUGGUUUCAGAACAGGACACUCAUAUCAGGAGAAGGGACAACACUAGCAACCAUUGUAAAGAGCCUCAACCCAUUUGCCUACAUGGAAUAUAUACCCAUACUCAUGCUCUAAAACAAAUAUACAACCAGGCAGUCACUGACUGGAGGCCUUGAUUUUCAUUUAAAAUAUGUAAACAUUGUCUAUAUGGACACUGGUCUGGGACAUGUUAAAACAUAUUAAUUAUAAGUCUGAAUAUCCUCA